CAGCCAGGCUCCACACCCUCAUCCCCACCCUGGCCAGGCGCGGCGCCCCACACAGCAGAACACUUCCUGCCACGACUCCACUCAGGGCCCCACACCAGCCCCAGCCAGGCUCCACACCCUCAUCCCCACCCUGGCCAGGCGCGGCGCCCCACACAGCAGAACACUUCCGGCCACGACUCCACUCAGGGCCCCACACCAGCCCCAGCCAGGCUCCACACCCUCAGAGAUGGCAGAAUAAAAGAAAACUGAGUAUUAGACAUCUGGUGAGCUGCAGGAAGGGUUGGGGGCGAGGCUGUGUAUAUAUGGCUAAAAGUGUUUGCAAGACACUCCGCCAUGCCACUGGGAUCACUAACUGUUGACCCGUGCCCCAUCAGGACGUCAUUGUCUCCAGUCGUGUGGUCCAGUGAGUCACCGCUCUACCGCACGACAGUGACCCCAAGGAAGUCCCGGUCCACAGCAGGGAUGUGGCCACCCCUGGCCACAGCCCCAAGUGUUCCCUGGUGGGCCAUACUCACUGAGCUCCUCCUCCUCCUCCUCCUCCUCACCCUGCUGCCGUGGAAGGACAUGAAUGAACCCACAAACCACUGGUCCAGGAGUCACCACAGCUGUCAGCAGAACAACUUGGAGCGUCCGCCCUUCCUGCCACCAGUGGUCGGAGACUCUCUCUUCACCACACGGUCUGCAUGUCGGCAAGGCACUACAUCGGACUCCACUACAACCUCCACAACCUCUACGGACUGUCAGAGACGAGUGCCACCAAUGCAUAAGUCUAUGAUGCUCAGAGUUUUAGGUGCAGGGAGGGAUAUGCUGACAGUAAGUUUGUGGUAUGCAUUCAAUAUGGGCACAGUACAUUAGUGAUGUGCUUGCAGUAAGUUUGUAGUGUGCAUUUAGUAUCGUUACAAUGUAUUAAUGAUAUACCCAAGUCAUAGGCAAGAGGAAAUACAGAUGAAGGAAGGCUGUUUUUCUUUCAGAGUUUACCAGCCAAAGGGAUGAAAGAAUGAAGAUGCUGGCUGGCUGACUCCUGCAUAAGGGAUUAGGGCAGCAUAGGGAUGAGCCAGUGUUUAAAAUUAUGGACGGUAGGGGUUGAGGCAUGCAGCUGCCAAGUUCAGGAAUGCCCGCCAGUCCUCUUUCUUAUAACAUAUCAAUACUUUCAUUUAGUAUCUAUCAAUAUGGCCAUUACUUGUUGCCAGACCCCUGCAGGGUGUGGGAGCCAGGCGGCCAUUCAUCACUUCCCGCUCGUCCUUCCACGGCCAGGGCCACUACGGGGGCCACUGGACGGGCCACGUGUGCUCCCACUGCUUCAACAUGUGGCACUCCACCGCAGAUCCCUCCAGUAGGCUGAGAAGAAGCUCCAGAGCCUGGCCCCGGAGAUGGAGGGGCAGCGGCGGGCCAGGAAGCCCUCCGGCUCUGAGACGUGCGGCGCCACAACCAACAACUCAGCGUGCAG